rnacentral:tRNA from 1 species
AUUUAAAUAAUUUAAGAAAAAUAUUAGUUUGUGGGACUAAAAAUGAAACAGGUUUCUUUAAAUU